UACAGAGGUGGCAAGCGUUGUUCGGAAUUACUGGGCGUAAAGGGCGCGUAGGCGGCCCGUCAAGUCCCGUGUGAAAUCCCCCAGCUCAACUGGGGAAGUGCCUCCGAUACUGGCGGCCUCGAGGGGGAUAGGGGCAUGCGGAACUUCCGGUGGAGCGGUGAAAUGCGUAGAUAUCGGAAGGAACACCGGUGGCGAAAGCGGCGUGCUGGAUCCCUUCUGACGCUGAGGCGCGAAAGCCAGGGGAGCGAACGGG
rnacentral:rRNA from 1 species